rnacentral:lncRNA from 1 species
GGUUCCCGUCCCCCCUCCCCAGGUUUGAUCACUUCCGGGACCGGCUUGCGGGGCUCAGGAGCGUGUUUUACUUAGUACACCUGCUUGUUAGAAAAGACGCCGCUCAGGAAGAGCGGGGGGGAGAGAUGCAGGGUCGGGGUGGGGUGGGGGGUGGGGGUGGAGCUUCCGUGCCCUCCUGGGUGCGGCCCCCUCCCGGCUGCCCACCAGCCAGAGCCCGUUGGUUUGGGGCUUCUCUAGAAGGUCCCUUUUGGAGGCGUGGCUGGUUAAACCACUGGCCACAGCGACUAACUCAUCCUCCAGCCCCUCUCCCUUCCCCAGAGGUGUCUAAUCGUGUCUGGUCUUUUCGGAGACCCGUGCCCAUCCUGGUGUGACCUAGGGGUCUGCAGCACAGGUCAUCUCAUUAGCUGACAAAGGACAUUUAUUAUUCCAAGAUGCCCAGGGUUUUAGGAACCCUGUGCCAGGGACCAGAACAAAGACUACAAAUUAAUUUGUUUCUUUAAUUUUUUUUUCUUUUUUUAGGGCCGCACCCGUGGCACACGGAGGUUCCCAGGCUAGGGGUUGCAUCAGAGCUGCCGCUGCCAGCCUACAUCACAGCCACAGCCACGCAGGAUCCGAGCCGUGUCUGCGACCUACACCACAGCUCACGGCAAGACCGGAUCCUUAACCCACGGAGCGAGGCCAGGGAUCGAACCUGCAACCUCAUGGAUACUAGUCAGGUUUGUUACUGCUGAGCCACAAUGGGAACUCCUAAUUUGUUUCUUAUAUCACGGGUGCCCUCUGGUCUCUGACUAGAGCCACUAGCAAAACCACUGUAAAAGUCAAGAGAUACUGCAGUUUCCACUGUGGCUCAGUAGGUUAAGAAUCUGACUGCAGCGGCUCAGGUCGCUGUGGAGGCACAGGUUCAGUCCCUGGCCGGAGUGGGUUAAAGGAUCUGGCAUUGCUGCAGCUGCAGUUUGGAUUCAAUCCCUGGCCAGGAACUUCCAUGUGCCGCGGGCGCAGCCAUUAAAAAAAAAGUCAAACCACAUUGGCACGUUGCCAGAGCCAGCCCAGUCCAUCACCCUGUGUGAGAAUGUCCCCAGGGCGAGGCCACACAGGAGCGGGCCUCACGAUGUGGUCAGAUUCCAAAACAGGAGUGCACCAGGCCCCGGCCCGCCUCUCAGGCCCUGGUGUAUGUGAGCUGUGGGACGCCCUUGUCCCCAGCCUCUUUUGGGCACUGACUCCCUUCCUUCCAGCACAAGCCCACGGGCCCAUCCCCUGACCCUUCACCCGCUGCCCACCUCCUCCGCGUGCACCCAGACUCCCGCCCGCGAGAUGGGUAACAGGUUCACAUGGAGCCGGUCUAGAUUGCAGGCCGCUGUGUGCACCCAGAGAGUGCCUGCCCUCAGCCCACUUCCGUCCAAGCAGGUGCGGGGCUCGUGGGCUCUCCGACCCCUGGGGGACGCCGCUGCUCCUGCUGUCGGCCCCAGGUUCGCACAGGGGGGCGGGGGCAGCACCCCCCCCCACACACACACACACCUCUUCAGGCCCUGACGUCAGGUUCACAGACAGUGACAGUUUCUCGCCCGAGGUCAUCUCUGUUUCUGGCCCUUGUAGCUGCAGACCUGGUCAUUUUUGGCAUUUUUUUGGUGGUUUUUUUUUUUUUUUUUCUUGCUUUUUUAGGGCCGCACCUGCAGCAUAUGGAAAUGUGGAAGUUGCCAGGCUAGGGGCCGAAUCGGAGCUACAGCUGCCAGCUUGCCCCUGUCCACUCGUGCGGGGUGGGCGCCCUGCGGCCCGUCUCAGCCUCUCAGACCUGCGCUCAGGAGGGCAGCUCUGCCCGUGGCUGGGCGUGAGGCGCGGUCCAGCGAGUGCCUCGUGCUGAGGAAACCAUGGUCGGCCGCCCAGACGCAACACGUCUCUUCCCGUCUGCUCACCGCUUCUGAGCCUCUGCGUCCAGGUUGCAGGCUGCGAAAUUCGAGCACUUUGAUGAAGUGGAAACGUUGCUAGACAAUGACUGGAUCGAGUACACGCCCGAAGGAAUCGAGCGGAGCAGGUCCCGCGGACUCCCGCUGCGGCUCAGAGGAAACGAACCCGACGAGCACCCAAGAGGAUGCAGGUUCCACCUCUGGCCUCGCUCGGUGGGUUAAGGAUCCCGCGUUGCUGUGGCCGGGGCGCAGGUUGGCGGCUGCAACGCCGAUUUGACCCCUAGCCUGGGGACCUCCCUAUGCUGCAAGUGUGGCCCUAAAAAGACCAAAAGGAAAAACAAACAAACAAAAAGCCUUCAUGGCAACAUCGAGACUGGUGUUUGACCAACUCGCUGGGCACCAAGGCCUGACCGAGUUGACACGAAAUGAGCCAUCACACUGGAUAAAUGUGUGCUCAUCGUAUAAUUCUUUCUGCUUCUUUUCUGUAUUAAUGUUUUCAUUAAAAGGUAGGAGGCAAAGGAUAUUUGUUCACCAAAAGUCACAGUAAAGAAAGUGAAAGUCAAGUCACAA